rnacentral:rRNA from 1 species
AGAGAUGUGUGAUGACGCAUAUCAAUAAGCGGAGGAAAAGAAACUAACAAGGAUUCCCUUAGUAACGGCGAGUGAAGCGGGAAGAGCUCAAAUUUGAAAUCUUCAAGAUUCUACCUUGACGAAUUGUAGUUUAUAGAAGUGUUUUCUGUUAGUAGAGUGGCAAAAGUUCUUUGGAAUAGGACAUCAUAGAGGGUGAGAAUCCCGUAUUUGGUCAUUUCUCCUAGCGUUGUGAUACACUUUCAACGAGUCGGAUUGUUUGGGAAUGCAGUCCAAAAUGGGUGGUAAAUUUCAUCUAAAGCUAAAUAUUGGCGAGAGACCGAUAGCGAACAAGUACCGUGAGGGAAAGAUGAAAAGAACUUUGAAAGGAGAGUUAAACAGUACGUGAAAUUGUCAAAAGGGAAGCGUUUGACACCAGUGUUGUUUUUCCGAAAAUCAAUUACGAAUGUUUUGUUUUUGAGGAGUUAUGACUUCAUCGGCUUGCUCCCUUCUUUAUGAAACUUUCUUAAUGCACUUUUCGGUUAACAAGUCAACAUCAAUUUCUUUUGUUGUAAAAGGGUACGAGGAAGGUGGCUUUCUUUUCGGAGAAAGUGUUUAUAGCCUUGUGCCUCUGCAAUCGGAGAGAUUGAGGUCUGCAGCGUAGAUCCUUCGGGGUUAGAUACAUUUGUGCUAAGUUAUAGCUUUUCAUAGACAACUUGUUGACUAUGUUUAGUCUUGUAGCUUACUCGCUUAUGCUAUUUUACCUACGCUUAGGAUGUUGAAGAUGUAGCACAUCAU